CCUUUAAUUAAACUCUUAAGUUCUCCAGCAGCAUCUUUCUUUGCGUCUCUGUACAUUUCAGUUAUUAUUGAUGGAAAUAUUUUUUUUCUCUGAGUGUGUGUG